rnacentral:lncRNA from 1 species
ACAAUCCACCGCACCUGCAAGCAGUGAGUGUGCUCUGUGCGUGCAGGGACAGCCAGGCUGAGGGUGUCCAGCCCAGCACAGCCCUGGGAGCAGCAGUGCAGCCCCACACACACGGCAGGGCACACCAAACCCGCUCCUGGCUCUGGCAGGGCUGCACAAGCCUUCCUGCAGACCUGCCUGAAACUGAGGCCUGGGGCGCGGCUGACGUUUUUGGAAAGAGUUCAGGAAUUCUGAAGGAUAGAACCUCAAAACAGAGGGCAAAAGCCUGACUUUGGAAAUGAAUACACCCUGGAAGCACGAGUGCCUGAAGCCCAGCCAGACAGAGCCAGCUGACAUCUGAAGAGCUCUGGAGCUGGCAGAUGCUCUCUCUCAGAGCUGGCUGCGUCCAGCACCCAUCCAAAGGUGCAAUCCCAUCACCUCCCCCUGGAGCUCCCCACGGCCAGCUGGGCAACAAGGAAAGACAGCUGCAUCUUUCAGCCCCCAUUGAUGCUGUCUGCAUUGCCAAAUACGACUCCCAGAAUUUCACUGUCAACCUGUAGGAGACACAGUCAGUGCCAGACCGUCCAAGUCAAGAACCACUGGAAAUAACCUUCUAACUGUAACCUCGAGGUCAGAGGGCAAAAUGGGCUCCUUUCUCUGUGAGUUAAGUGUGUGGAUGUACCCAGAAAGUCACGAGUGGGGCUGAGCUUUCCAGCAGAAUCACCAUUGAGGGGUUUUGUCAGGAGGCAAAAACUCUACGGGAAAGUGAACCCACCUGAGAGUGCAGCACCUUGGAAUGAGCCAUUUCUCUGCUGGAGAAACAAAGU